UGUAAACCCUAAAAAUUUAGGGAUUUUACAAUUUUUUGUUAAUUAUAUUUAUCUAAUCUGACUCUUGUGAUUUUUGGUGGACAUAAUUGAUUUUGGAAGCAUAGGAAACGAUUGGCUUGCUCUAGGGAGGAAGAUCUAAGGAAAAAGAACUGGAGUAAUCAAUAUGAGAACCCCCAGUCUGCUCAUCAAUCUGGGUUUGAGCAUGAGGAAAAAGGUGAUUUUGCAACCUCACCAAAGCAUUUCAAAGUUGCUUGGGUGAAGCUGAUGACUGUGUGCAUUGCAGGACCACAACAAAAUGGUGCAAUUACAUCUAUUCGUGGACUUUGAAAUAGAAACAAGGUUUGCAUCUUUUAAU